rnacentral:rRNA from 1 species
UACGGCGGUCAUAGCGUUGGGGAAACGCCCGGUUCCAUUCCGAACCCGGUAGCUAAGCCUGACAGCGCCGAUGGUACUGCACUCGGGAGGGUGUGGGAGAGUAGGUCGCCGCCGGAC